rnacentral:rRNA from 1 species
GACGAACGCUGGCGGCGUGCUUAACACAUGCAAGUCGAACGGAAAGGCCCUGCUUUUGUGGGGUGCUCGAGUGGCGAACGGGUGAGUAACACGUGAGUAACCUGCCCUUGACUUUGGGAUAACUUCAGGAAACUGGGGCUAAUACCGGAUAGGAGCUCCUGCUGCAUGGUGGGGGUUGGAAAGUUUCGGCGGUUGUGGAUGGACUCGCGGCUUAUCAGCUUGUUGGUGUGGUAGUGGCUUACCAAGGCUUUGACGGGUAGCCGGCCUGAGAGGGUGACCGGCCACAUUGGGACUGAGAUACGGCCCAGACUCCUACGGGAGGCAGCAGUGGGGAGUAUUGCACAAUGGGCGGAAGCCUGAUGCAGCAACGCCGCGUGCGUGAUGACGGCCUUCGGGUUGUAAACCGCUUUCGCCGGUGACGAAGCGUGAGUGACGGUAAUGGGUAAAGAAGCACCGGCUAACUACGUG